ensembl:lncRNA
ACAUGUGACUGAUUUCAUCAUGAACUCUGACAAAAGCUGAGUUUCUCUGAAAACUGGCAACAUUCUCUUGAUUCCUGUUUCUUGGCUGGACUCAGUGUCCCUGGUGGUGAGCACACAACUUAUUUAAAAUGGCACAGAACUGCUCUAAUUCGGAGAUUCAAAGGUGUGAAGAUCUUCAAGCAUCUCAAGCCUCACACUUUCUUGUCAACGUGCUGUACAACAAGUGGACAGUAAGCACCUGGCUCUGUUUUUACUGCCUCAAGCAACAAAUUACGCUAAUGUUCACAUUUCUCUACUUCUAAAGAGAUUGAAUGAAUGCAAACCUCAAAAAGAGAUGGGGAAGGAUCACCUCCUCAGUGCCUGCUACCAGCUUCAAACCAUGGGGUCAGCACAGAGAGAAACUACUUCCUACAACUACUGCAAGCACAGAAGAACUCUGAUUUAGUAGAGGUUGGCAACCCCGCCUUUGGCAGGAGAGACGUGGACCUGUUGGAGUGUGUCCAGAGGAGGGCCACAAAAAUGAUCCAAGGGAUGGAACACCUCACCUACAAGGACAGGCCAAGAUUGCUCAGGCUGUUCAGCCUGGAGAAGAGAAGGCUCCAAGGUGACCUGAUAGCAGCCUUCCAUAGAGGCUAUAAGAAGGGGAAAGACUCUAGCUGGGUCUGCUGUGACAAGACAAGGGGAAAUGGUUUCAAACUAACAGAAGGAAGAUUUAGAUUGGAUAUAAGGAAGGAG